rnacentral:sRNA from 1 species
UAAUGGUCUUAAUAUUUGAUAUGCUUGU